rnacentral:tRNA from 1 species
AAACUUAGGUUAAAUA